rnacentral:rRNA from 1 species
UGUGCCAGCAGCCGCGGUAAUUCCAGCUCCAAUAGCGUAUAUUAAUGUUGUUGCCGUUAAAAAGCUCGUAGUCGAACUUCGGCCUUUGCCGCCCGGUCCGCCUAUUUGGGUGUGUACUGGAGCGGUGGAGGCUUACCUCGUGGUGAACUGCCAUGUCCUUUACUGGGUGUGGUAGGGAACCAUGACUUUUACUGUGAAAAAAUUAGAGUGUUCAAAGCAGGCUUACGCCCGAAUACAUUAGCAUGGAAUAAUAAAAUAGGACGUGCGGUCCUAUUUUGUUGGUUUCUAGGAUCGCCGUAAUGAUUAAUAGGGAUAGUUGGGGGCAUUCGUAUUCAAUUGUCAGAGGUGAAAUUCUUGGAUUUAUUGAAGACGAACUACUGCGGAAGCAUUUGCCAAGGAUGUUUUCAUUGAUCAAGAACGAAGGUUGGGGGAUCGAAAACGAUCAGAUACCGUUGUAGUCUUAACAGUAAACGAUGCCGACUAGGGAUCGGAUGAGGUUUUUAAUGACUCAUUCGGCACCUGAAGAGAAAUCUUUAAGUCAGGUUCGGGGGGGAGUAUGGUCGCAAAGCUGAAACUUAAAGGAAUUGACGGAAGGGCACCACCAGGUGUGGAGCCUGCGGCUUAAUUUGACUCAACACGGGGAAACUCACCACGUCCAGACACGACAAGGAUUGACAGAUUGAUAGCUCUUUCUUGAUUUCGUGGUUGGUGGUGCAUGGCCGUUCUUAGUUGGUGGAGUGAUUUGUCUGGUUAAUUCCGAUACGAACGAGACCUUAACCUGCUAAAUAGCCCGGCCGACUUUGGGUUGGUCGCUGGCUUCUUAGAGGGACUAUCGAC